CCGAGCGGGGUGGCAGGGGCAGGGCUGAGGGGCAGCGAGGUGACUGCGGCGGACAAGCUGCUCGGCAAAUAAACGCACCGGGGACGGGAGGGCGACACAAGGCAGGAAAAAACAUCCCCAAAAGCACCUGUCCCCAGAAGCAGCAGCCGGCGGGUCUCAGGCUGGGAGGCCUCCUUUUGGCCUCCGUGAAGGGAGAGAGCAGCCCUGGGGGCACAGUACAAAAAUAACACCCAGGGAAAACAGCCUUUCUGCAAGUAUCUGGGGACUUACACAGCAAUUUCAAGCACAGCCGCCCUGAGGAAUGCAAUAGCACCGUCCACACCGCUAUGAGGAAACAAGGAAGAGACAGGUAGGAUGACAAUUCACCAGUUCACACAAGGAAGAGGAGAGUACAGAAGAUGGUAGGAAAACACAGUAAGAAAUUAGGUUCCACAGAAUGCAAUGAUUUUACCUUGGCACUGGAGGAAGGGCACGAGGCGGGCACUGAAAGACAAGAGACAAAAAUCAGCUUCUGCCAGCAUGAACCCACCUCUCAGGAAACAGCUUCAGAUCAGAACAUCCAAGGCGGCAAGACAGCUACAAAUACGAGGUGGAGAGAGUGAGGAACUUAGUUGCCACAAGCAUGGAACCCUUUGCUGAGGAGACCGUGCUACCACAGACCAACAAGAGAAAGGUUUUCUGAUUAUUUUCCUCUUUGGGUGUUCUGAGAUUGCUAACAGAAGAAUAGAACUCUCAACAGUAGGGCUUGGAGAAGGAAGAAAUCCCAUGCAACAGGUGUUCACAUGAAAGACUAAUCCUUACUUUAAGUAAGUAUGAAAACUCAUUUCCAUACCAUCCUGAUAAUGCAGCUGCUGGCUUGGUAAAAAAUGCACUGUCUCAAUAUACUUGUCACUGUAGUACCACCACCCCCUAAGACACGUGAAAAGAAUAAUCUAUUAUUAAUAAGCACCACGAGGUAAAGUGAAAAAGAAGACAAAGCAA